GCAUUCUAAAAUUCACUCCAACGCAUUAACGACAUGACCAACAUUAUUAAACCAUACCCAAUUCAGCGAAAACUACUUAUGUUUCCAUCCUCACUCCAACGCAUUAUGUCGUCGGCCGCUCGACACAACACCAAGAGUAGAGAACAAACAUCAAUUCAACUUAGUCCCUAACCACAUUAGAGACAUCCUAACUUAACCCAAUCACAUGCGUUCGCUAACUUUAAUACAACGUCGCUCACGUUUCCUA
rnacentral:lncRNA from 1 species